UACGUAGGACCCAAGCGUUAUCCGGAGUGACUGGGCGUAAAGAGUUGCGUAGGCGGCUUAUUAAGUGGAUAGUGAAACCUGGUGGCUCAACCAUACAGACUAUUAUCCAAACUGGUAAGCUCGAGAAUGGUAGAGGUGGCUGGAAUUUCUAGUGUAGGAGUGAAAUCCGUAGAUAUUAGAAGGAACACCGAUGGCGUAGGCAGGCCACUGGACCAUUUCUGACGCUAAGGCACGAAAGCGUGGGGAGCGAACCGG
rnacentral:rRNA from 1 species